rnacentral:rRNA from 1 species
GCUCUGUUGUUAGGGAAGAACAAGUACCGUUCGAAUAGGGCGGUACCUUGACGGUACCUAACCAGAAAGCCACGGCUAACUACGUGCCAGCAGCCGCGGUAAUACGUAGGUGGCAAGCGUUGUCCGGAAUUAUUGGGCGUAAAGGGCUCGCAGGCGGUUUCUUAAGUCUGAUGUGAAAGCCCCCGGCUCAACCGGGGAGGGUCAUUGGAAACUGGGGAACUUGAGUGCAGAAGAGGAGAGUGGAAUUCCACGUGUAGCGGUGAAAUGCGUAGAGAUGUGGAGGAACACCAGUGGCGAAGGCGACUCUCUGGUCUGUAACUGACGCUGAGGAGCGAAAGCGUGGGGAGCGAACAGGAUUAGAUACCCUGGUAGUCCACGCCGUAAACGAUGAGUGCUAAGUGUUAGGGGGUUUCCGCCCCUUAGUGCUGCAGCUAACGCAUUAAGCACUCCGCCUGGGGAGUACGGUCGCAAGACUGAAACUCAAAGGAAUUGACGGGGGCCCGCACAAGCGGUGGAGCAUGUGGUUUAAUUCGAAGCAACGCGAAGAACCUUACCAGGUCUUGACAUCCUCUGACAAUCCUAGAGAUAGGACGUCCCCUUCGGGGGCAGAGUGACAGGUGGUGCAUGGUUGUCGUCAGCUCGUGUCGUGAGAUGUUGGGUUAAGUCCCGCAACGAGCGCAACCCUUGAUCUUAGUUGCCAGCAUUCAGUUGG